rnacentral:snRNA from 1 species
GUGUUCCUUGGAAGUUACCACC